UCCUACGGGUGGCAGCAGUGGGGAAUUUUGGACAAUGGGGGCAACCCUGAUCCAGCCAUGCCGCGUGAGUGAAGAAGGCCUUCGGGUUGUAAAGCUCUUUCGGACGGAAAGAAACGGUUACGGCUAAUACCCGUGACUAAUGACGGUACCGUAAGAAGAAGCACCGGCUAACUACGUGCCAGCAGCCGCGGUAAUACGUAGGGUGCGAGCGUUAAUCGGAAUUACUGGGCGUAAAGCGUGCGCAGGCGGUUUCGUAAGACAGAUGUGAAAUCCCCGGGCUUAACCUGGGAACUGCAUUUGUGACUGCGAGACUAGAGUGUAGCAGAGGGGGGUAGAAUUCCACGUGUAGCAGUGAAAUGCGUAGAGAUGUGGAGGAAUACCGAUGGCGAAGGCAGCCCCCUGGGCUAACACUGACGCUCAUGCACGAAAGCGUGGGGAGCAAACAGGAUUAGAUACCCGAGUAGUCCU
rnacentral:rRNA from 1 species